rnacentral:rRNA from 1 species
UACGGGGGGUGCGAGCGUUGUCCGGAAUCACUGGGCGUAAAGCGCACGUAGGCGGAUUGCUAAGUCAGGGGUGAAAUCCUGGAGCUCAACUCCAGAACUGCCUUUGAUACUGGUGAUCUUGAGUCCGGGAGAGGUGAGUGGAACUGCGAGUGUAGAGGUGAAAUUCGUAGAUAUUCGCAAGAACACCAGUGGCGAAGGCGGCUCACUGGCCCGGUACGUGACGCUGAGUGCGGAAAGCGUGGGGAGCAAACAGGGAUUAAGAAACCCGUGUACG